rnacentral:lncRNA from 1 species
AAUCGCUUCUGCCUUAAUGAUUUCAAAUGGAUAUCAUGGUGAAUGAAGAUUGGAUUGUGCAUGAAUGAUUGUAGGCCACAGUGUACUUUAUCACUUCGGCCGAAUUGGGCCCUAAGCCAUGGCAAGUUGAUCUAGUCGAGCCAGUAAAGGACUUGGUCGAUUAGGUUGGCUACCUUGAGCAAUUGAAUGGUAUACUCGAG